UUUCCGGCCGUCUUUGUGAUUGGCCGAAGACAUCACCGGCAGAAAACUGAACUACUGACAAACAAAGAUAUGUAGUCUCAUUCAGUCUUUAGUUUGGUGUGUGGUUUCAGUGGUGGUCUAUCAUCGAGGUCGUGUUGCUGCAUUGCGAUACUGAGAUUGGAAAAAUUUGAGUCUUCUGGUACAGAAAUUGAUUCAUGGCCUUCUCCUCUACAGAAUAUCUACUUGGACGUUCGUCAAGCCAACUUUGAAUUCAAUAACACUUGUCUCCUUGAAGCAGAAUUGAAAAUCUGAGGCAGAUAUGAAUUUUGAAGCGCUGGCAAGGACUGUUCACAAAGAGAAAAUUUUGGUUAAUUUGACAUUAAAUUUGCAAAAUAAUAAUUAAGCCCUAAUUAGCUCAGCCUAGUUUUAACUAUAAGCUGGGAUUUUCAGACCAAAGAAUUUAGUAAUGGAAACAUAUUUUUGUUAAUAUUACCUAUCAAGUAAUGAAAGGUUUUUCAUUAACUAUAUACUUCAGCUGUUAUACAAUUUUAUAGUUUAUGUAAGGUUUUUUUCACUCCAAUAACCUGUUAAGUCUAGUACUAUCAAAUUUUCCCAAAGGGUUUGAAUCCAUUUUUAUUCCUCAUGAAAUGUCUGUUUA